rnacentral:lncRNA from 1 species
UUUAUUCUAUUUUAAAGUUUGAUUUAUUAAGAAAAAUAUAAUGUUUUAAACCCAAUCUUUUAAGGAGAGAUUUUGUUUUAAGUAAAGAUUUGAGCUCGGUUUAUUAAGAAAAGGAAUCUCUGCCACAGGAGAGCAGAGAACAAGGAUUUAAAGAAUAUAUUAAUUAAUGAAGUGUCUGCCACAGGAGAGCAGAUGUGACAUUGUUUGGGCCUUAGUGCCAAAUGUAAAGUGGGGACGCCCACACACUCAGAACUGUUUUCCAGAUGUACGCUUAUUGAUUUGGAAAGUCACACUGUAUGCGGCCUGGCCGUACGACUUAUAAGCAUACUGUAUGCAUCUGGAAAGCCAUACCUGGGACUUGUGCCUGGGUAAUGUCGGGAGCGGGUAGGCAACCGACACAUGAGCUCAUGGCCUGCGUUAGGGAUAGACAUGCAUCAUAUUGAUUGCGCAUUUACAUUUGAUUACGCUUGCCUGUUUUAUUACUUUGUGAUUGUAUUGUUUGUCUUGUUGUGACUUGCUUGUACAUUGAAUUGAAUCUCUUGCUUGCACUAUUUAUUUGUGAGUGUAUUAAAGUGAUUACGAGUUGACAUUUGACUGAGGAUUAACUAUGUGGCUGAGAGGCAGAAAAUGUGACUAGUUUUAUAUUUAAAAUUUGUUUUGAGUUUAGAAAUUUAAAGAAAAGUAAUUAUUUAUCUAAAGUAGAAAUAAAAGUAUUUCCAAAGGGUUAACAAAAUAGUUUUAUUGAGUAAAGUUAAUUAUUUACAUUAAAUUCAUUACUUUUACGGCAUUCCCAUUCCCUACUGAGAACGUGUGGUUUGUUCUCACCCCAAAAUCUUCCACCCUUUCAGUGACACAGGUUCGAAGAUUCAGUUAGAAGAUGCAGACGACUAGUAGAUUUACUUGUGAUUCCUGUUAUUUUUAUAGAGUUCACUCGCCC